rnacentral:rRNA from 1 species
GGGUUGUGAGGUUAAGCGACUAAGCGUACACGGUGGAUGCCCUGGCAGUCAGAGGCGAUGAAGGACGUGCUAAUCUGCGAUAAGCGUCGGUAAGGUGAUAUGAACCGUUAUAACCGGCGAUUUCCGAAUGGGGAAACCCAGUGUGAUUCGUCACACUAUCAUUAACUGAAUCCAUAGGUUAAUGAGGCGAACCGGGGGAACUGAAACAUCUAAGUACCCCGAGGAAAAGAAAUCAACCGAGAUUCCCCCAGUAGCGGCGAGCGAACGGGGAGGAGCCCAGAGCCUGAAUCAGUGUGUGUGUUAGUGGAAGCGUCUGGAAAGGCGCGCGAUACAGGGUGACAGCCCCGUACACAAAAAUGCACAUGCUGUGAGCUCGAUGAGUAGGGCGGGACACGUGGUAUCCUGUCUGAAUAUGGGGGGACCAUCCUCCAAGGCUAAAUACUCCUGACUGACCGAUAGUGAACCAGUACCGUGAGGGAAAGGCGAAAAGAACCCCGGCGAGGGGAGUGAAAAAGAACCUGAAACCGUGUACGUACAAGCAGUGGGAGCACAGAGCAAUCUGUGUGACUGCGUACCUUUUGUAUAAUGGGUCAGCGACUUAUAUUCUGUAGCAAGGUUAACCGAAUAGGGGAGCCGAAGGGAAACCGAGUCUUAACCGGGCGUUAAGUUGCAGGGUAUAGACCCGAAACCCGGUGAUCUAGCCAUGGGCAGGUUGAAGGUUGGGUAACACUAACUGGAGGACCGAACCGACUAAUGUUGAAAAAUUAGCGGAUGACUUGUGGCUGGGGGUGAAAGGCCAAUCAAACCGGGAGAUAGCUGGUUCUCCCCGAAAGCUAUUUAGGUAGCGCCUCGUGAAUUCAUCUCCGGGGGUAGAGCACUGUUUCGGCAAGGGGGUCAUCCCGACUUACCAACCCGAUGCAAACUGCGAAUACCGGAGAAUGUUAUCACGGGAGACACACGGCGGGUGCUAACGUCCGUCGUGAAGAGGGAAACAACCCAGACCGCCAGCUAAGGUCCCAAAGUCAUGGUUAAGUGGGAAACGAUGUGGGAAGGCCCAGACAGCCAGGAUGUUGGCUUAGAAGCAGCCAUCAUUUAAAGAAAGCGUAAUAGCUCACUGGUCGAGUCGGCCUGCGCGGAAGAUGUAACGGGGCUAAACCAUGCACCGAAGCUGCGGCAGCGACACUGUGUGUUGUUGGGUAGGGGAGCGUUCUGUAAGCCUGUGAAGGUGUGCUGUGAGGCAUGCUGGAGGUAUCAGAAGUGCGAAUGCUGACAUAAGUAACGAUAAAGCGGGUGAAAAGCCCGCUCGCCGGAAGACCAAGGGUUCCUGUCCAACGUUAAUCGGGGCAGGGUGAGUCGACCCCUAAGGCGAGGCCGAAAGGCGUAGUCGAUGGGAAACAGGUUAAUAUUCCUGUACUUGGUGUUACUGCGAAGGGGGGACGGAGAAGGCUAUGUUGGCCGGGCGACGGUUGUCCCGGUUUAAGCGUGUAGGCUGGUUUUCCAGGCAAAUCCGGAAAAUCAAGGCUGAGGCGUGAUGACGAGGCACUACGGUGCUGAAGCAACAAAUGCCCUGCUUCCAGGAAAAGCCUCUAAGCAUCAGGUAACAUCAAAUCGUACCCCAAACCGACACAGGUGGUCAGGUAGAGAAUACCAAGGCGCUUGAGAGAACUCGGGUGAAGGAACUAGGCAAAAUGGUGCCGUAACUUCGGGAGAAGGCACGCUGAUAUGUAGGUGAAGUCCCUCGCGGAUGGAGCUGAAAUCAGUCGAAGAUACCAGCUGGCUGCAACUGUUUAUUAAAAACACAGCACUGUGCAAACACGAAAGUGGACGUAUACGGUGUGACGCCUGCCCGGUGCCGGAAGGUUAAUUGAUGGGGUCAGCGCAAGCGAAGCUCUUGAUCGAAGCCCCGGUAAACGGCGGCCGUAACUAUAACGGUCCUAAGGUAGCGAAAUUCCUUGUCGGGUAAGUUCCGACCUGCACGAAUGGCGUAAUGAUGGCCAGGCUGUCUCCACCCGAGACUCAGUGAAAUUGAACUCGCUGUGAAGAUGCAGUGUACCCGCGGCAAGACGGAAAGACCCCGUGAACCUUUACUAUAGCUUGACACUGAACAUUGAGCCUUGAUGUGUAGGAUAGGUGGGAGGCUUUGAAGUGUGGACGCCAGUCUGCAUGGAGCCGACCUUGAAAUACCACCCUUUAAUGUUUGAUGUUCUAACGUGGACCCGUGAUCCGGGUUGCGGACAGUGUCUGGUGGGUAGUUUGACUGGGGCGGUCUCCUCCUAAAGAGUAACGGAGGAGCACGAAGGUUGGCUAAUCCUGGUCGGACAUCAGGAGGUUAGUGCAAUGGCAUAAGCCAGCUUGACUGCGAGCGUGACGGCGCGAGCAGGUGCGAAAGCAGGUCAUAGUGAUCCGGUGGUUCUGAAUGGAAGGGCCAUCGCUCAACGGAUAAAAGGUACUCCGGGGAUAACAGGCUGAUACCGCCCAAGAGUUCAUAUCGACGGCGGUGUUUGGCACCUCGAUGUCGGCUCAUCACAUCCUGGGGCUGAAGUAGGUCCCAAGGGUAUGGCUGUUCGCCAUUUAAAGUGGUACGCGAGCUGGGUUUAGAACGUCGUGAGACAGUUCGGUCCCUAUCUGCCGUGGGCGCUGGAGAACUGAGGGGGGCUGCUCCUAGUACGAGAGGACCGGAGUGGACGCAUCACUGGUGUUCGGGUUGUCAUGCCAAUGGCACUGCCCGGUAGCUAAAUGCGGAAGAGAUAAGUGCUGAAAGCAUCUAAGCACGAAACUUGCCCCGAGAUGAGUUCUCCCUGACCCUUUAAGGGUCCUGAAGGAACGUUGAAGACGACGACGU